AAAGGAAUUUUUCACAAAUUUUGGAGAUUUUUGGGGUUUUUCUCCUCCCAUUCAUUCCAAACUUUUGCUGGCUCCAAUUUGGACUGGUCUGAACUGGUCUGGACUGGUCUGAACUGGUUUGAACUGGUUUUAUUGGUCUGAACUGGUUUGGACUGGUUUGAACUGGGACUGGCUCCCCAUUUGAUCCAAUAACAACAAGAAAAUAAAGGAAUUUUGCACAAAUUUUGGGAUUUUUCUCGUCCCAUUUAUUCCGACUUUCUGGAAGUUCCAGUUUGGACUGGUCUGAACUGGUUUGGACUGGUCUGAACUGGGAAUGACUCCAAGAAACAAGAAGAAAAUAAAGGAAUUUUUCACAGAUUUUUGGGAUUUUUUUCCCUCCCAUUUAUUCCAAAUUUCUGCUGGUUCCAGUUUGGACUGGUCUGCACUGGUCUGAACUGGUUUGAACUGGUUUGGACUGGUUUGGACUGGUUUGAACUGGGACUGGCUCCCCAUUUGAUCCAAUAACGCCGAGAAAAUAAAGGAAUUUUGCACAAAUUUUGAGAUUUUUUC
rnacentral:lncRNA from 1 species